GGUUUUAGGAAAUUAUGUUUGGUGAUUCCUCAUUUUUUCAUACCGAACUAAUUUAUUAUUUGCUGUGAUUGUUUGAUUAGGUGACACUGACAUAUGGGAUCUCAUCAGAAGAAGAAGAGGAGGAAGAAGAAGAACCCUUGACUGAUGGGACCUCAUCCGAUGAGGUACUACACGAAAUAGGCUGGCUGUCUUCUAGAGCGUCCACAAUAAGUCUCGCAAGCUUGGAUGACAAUAAAUCUGUU
rnacentral:lncRNA from 1 species